CCUACGGGAGGCAGCAGUGGGGAAUAUUGCACAAUGGGGGAAACCCUGAUGCAGCGACGCCGCGUGAGUGAUGAAGUAUUUCGGUAUGUAAAGCUCUAUCAGCAGGGAAGAUAAUGACGGUACCUGACUAAGAAGCUCCGGCUAAAUACGUGCCAGCAGCCGCGGGAAUACGUAUGGAGCAAGCGUUAUCCGGGUUUACUGGGUGUAAAGGGAGCGCAGACGGCAGGGCAAGUCUGAUGUGAAAGUCCGGGGCUCAACCCCGGGACUGCAUUGGAAACUGUCCGGCUAGAGUGCAGGAGAGGUAAGUGGAAUUCCUAGUGUAGCGGUGAAAUGCGUAGAUAUUAGGAGGAACACCAGUGGCGAAGGCGGCUUACUGGACUGUAACUGACGUUGAGGCUCGAAAGCGUGGGGAGCAAACAGGAUUAGAUACCCCAGUAGUC
rnacentral:rRNA from 1 species